UAAUAGGAAAAGGCUCAAAUAUGCCACCGAGCUUUGAGAAAAGGCUCAUUUAUGCCAUUUCCUGAAAGAGGCAGUGAUGAUACUUGUUCAUGGGGCCAUUUGCGACCUUUUCUAAGGUCGCUAUUUAAAUUUGUCCUCAUUUCCAUCCGAGCAUUGGGGCAUCCCGCCCGUAUCUUGGCUUGGCAAACACCGGAAUGGUCUGUGAUUUGAGGUUUCUCUUCACAUGCAAUUGGUUCUAUUGCAGCCAUGGCUUGGUUGCCCCAUCAGAAACUGAGAAACUGAGAUCUGAGCCUCAUUUUCUAAAUUUCUUUUUGACGACCUGCUGGGGAAUCGAACACGCAACCUUCUUUAAUGGAAACUCAUUUUGCCUUGUUUCAAAGAGAAGUUGGAUUUUCCCUUCUCUUGAUGUUGCAAGUCUGUGGAAUUCUUUUCACAGGAGAUAACAACAUCCCUUUAAUGCAACCAUUGAUUAGUCUUCAAUGGAAGGUUGCUCUCUGGAUUUGGGAUUCUUCAGUUUUAUGUGUUAGACUGACGUGAUAACCAACUACCACCACGUCGUUUCUGCUCAAUGGAUGAGGCUUUGGGGGAUCAGAUGAUUCUCAGAGUGGAUGACCAUCUUCGACAUGCAGGCAUGACAGGUUUCCAGAAAUUUCAGUGCUCCAGAUACAAAUCUGAGCCUCCAGUUGAGAGCAAAGCAUUAACAUAGUAAUAGUAGUACUUGGACCCUCAGUCUGAUUUAUGAGCUUAAUUCUAAUUUCUAAGUAUCCUAAUAUCUUGAAAAUUAUGCAACCAUUUUCUCAAAGUGGCAGUGAUAAUAUUUGCUUAUCUGGGCUUUGGGAAUAAAGACAAUCAGACCCGUAUCUUGCCUUGGCAAACCCCAGUUGCUAUGUGAUUUAAGGCUUCUCUUUCACAUGCAACCGGUACUUUUGCAGCUGCAGCGUGGUCUCUUUCUCUGUUCCCCAUUGAUAGGUCAGAUCUGAGCCUCAAAUUUGCAAGUAGUCCUGGACAUUUGUUUGGUGGAAACGAAAUCCAUUUCACUUAUUUUGAAAGCCAGCUCAAUGAGGCAUCAUGAGAAACGCAAACUAUUUAUUUAUUAUUCAUUCAUUCAGUUUUGCUAGUAAGCCCACGAUUUUUUGCUGCUGCAUGGCUGCAUGAACACCUAAACAGCGAGAAUCAUACUAGAAAAAGGUGAAAUUGAGGCAGUGAUGAUAUUGUUCUUGGCAAACAAAAGCUACAAGUUGAGCAUAGCCUAGAAAGGAAGAAGAAUGAGGCAUCAGAGAAAUUGGGACUUUCUGAAAGGGUGGUUGCCCCUCUCUGCUAUGCCAGUGAUUUCUCCGUUAAUGGACCAUAAAAACCAACAGCCCUUCGAAAUAUACAAGAAAAAACAAAAAACCUUCAUACCAAACACACCCCUAUACUCUUCUUGCUCUUCCUCUUUCUCCUCUCUUUGUGCUGCUAAUGUUGUAAAGGGGCAAUGAUGAUUGAUUGCUUCCUUUCUGGGUUAUGUUCAAUCAUAGCAAUUGAGAAAAUAUCUGACCCGUAUCUUGGCAGGGUGACCUGGUUAUGGCUUUGAAGAGCAAACUGGUGUCUGCAGCCAUGGCGUUGUCACUCUUCUCUUGUUCAAAUACAGCAAAUCUGAGCCCUCAAUAACCCAUUACUACAACAACAUAUCCGGAAGUGGGGUCGGGGAAGAUGGUGUCUAUGCAGCCUUACCCCUCAAUAACCCAUUCGGGUAGGAAAAUCCAUUACGGAUUUCCAAUGAAAUUUCUGCUCAGAAGAAUGAGGCGUCGGAGAAUGGGAUUUCUGUAAAGGGUGGUUGCCCAUCUCUGCGUUGCCAGUGAUUUCUCCAUUAAUGGACCAAAAAAACCAACAGCCCUUUGAAAUAAACAACAACAACAAUAAAAACUUCAUACCGAACACACCCCUAUAGUCCUAUACUCCUCUUCCUCUUUCUCCUCUCUUUGUGUUGCUAAUGUUUAGAAGGGGCUAUGAUGAUUGAUUGCUUAGUUUCUGGGCUAUGUUCAACCAUGGCAAUUGAGAAAAUAUCCGACCCGUAUCUUGGCAGGGCAACCUGGUUAGGGCUUUGAAUAGAAAACUGGUGUCUGCAGCCAUGGUGGUGUCGCUCUUCUCUUUUGCUUUGUUCAAAUACAGCAAAUCUGAGCCCUCAAUAACCCAUUCGGGUAGGAAAAUCCAUUUUUGGUUUGCUUUGAAAUUUCAGCUCUGAAGAAUGAGGCGUUGGAGAAAUUGGGAUUUUCUGUGAAGGGUGGUUGCCCAUCUCUGCUGUGCCAGUGACUUCUCCAUUAAUGGACCAAAAAACCCAACAACCCUUUCAAAUAAACAAAAAGAAAGCAAAUUGAAAAAACUUCAUCCAAAUUCCAAACACCCCCUCUAUAUUCUUCUUGCUCUUCCUCUGUCUCAUUGUGCUGCUGCUGUUACUAUUGCUGUAAAUGGCUGUGAUGAUUGCUUGCUUCCUUUCUGGGCUAUGUUCAAUCAUGGCAUUUAGAGAAGAUCUGACCCGUAUCUUGGCAGGGCGAUCCAGUUCGGUUUUGAAUAGCAAACUGGUGUCUGCAGCCAUGGCGGUGGCGCUCUUCUCUUUUGCUUUGUUCGAAUUCAGCAAAUCUGAGCCUUCAAUAACGCAUUCGGGUCGGAGAACCCGUUACGGGUUUGCGCUGAAUAAUGAGCCGUCGGAGAAACUUGGAUUUUCUGUAAAGGAUGGUUGCCCAUCUCUGCUUUGCCAGUGAUUUCACCAUUGAUUACCAAAAAAACCACUAGCCCUUUAAAAUAAACAAGAAAGAAAAAAGAAAAACAAAUUGCGAGCUUCAUCCAAAGACACCCUUUACUCUUUCACUGUCUCUUUGUGCUGCUGUUGCUGAUGAUGUUGUAAAGGGGUUGUGAUGAUUGCUUGCUUCCUUUCUGGUCUAUGUUCAAUCAUGUCAUUGCUCAAAGUUUCAUUACAAAUGUGUUGUCAAAAUAUUUAAUUUAUCUAAUAGAUCUUUCGUUAAAAAUAUUUACAGCAGUAAUUGCAGCUUGUAUCAUAUAGUUCGUGCUUAAUUCUACUGUAGGUUUCCACGUGGCUAUUUGGUGACCGGCAAGUGUAAUUGCAGAAAUUCACUUGAUUUUUCACAUCUCUUCUGCCAAUGGAUGCCGCAUUUUGCUGUCUGCCCUUAUCUGUCUUGAGUUGGACAAGCAGUCUAGCAUUGACCUGUCUUAGCUCCCAGUGACCUGCUUGGGGAAACCUUUUCGAACCGCAGCAUGAGGAAUGUCUCCUCCUUAACUAUGUAUGGCUAAUGAACUCGUUGCUCUAGUCUGUUAUUUUCCUACUUUGGGCUCAGGUCGACAGUAUCUCGGACUUAAGAGCAGAUUUUUUUUUUUUUUUAUUGUUUUCCAAGUUCAUAGUUUUUGACUUGUAACAGCUACUUUGGGCUCAGGUCAAUAACCUACAAGCGUACUUUCUUGAGCUUUGACGUGUAAUAUCCCCUUUACCUACCAUUUGUUGUAAUUACUCUACCUGUUAUCUUUUUUGAGGAUUAUAAGUUUAUUCUUUGUAUUGUUGGUGCAUUGCAUUCUAAUUUUAAUAUUGUAUUCAUCAAAAUAAUAAUACAGUACAAUGUAAUGUUUGACAAAUCAUGAGUAUAUCUUGUCAAAAAUAUCUUUUCUUUCCUAUA